rnacentral:rRNA from 1 species
GACGAACGCUGGCGGCGUGCUUAACACAUGCAAGUCGAACGGUAAGGCCCUGCUUUUGUGGGUUGCUCGAGUUGCGAACGGGUGAGUAACCCGUGGGUAACCUGCCCUUGAGUUUGGGAUAACUUCAGGAAACUGGAGCUAAUACCGGAUAGUAGCUCCUGCUGCAUGGUGUGGGUUGCAAAGUUUCAGCGGUUUGGGAUGGACCCGCGGCUUCUUAGCUUGUUGGUGUGGGAGUGGCUUACCAAGCCUUUGACGGGUAGCCGUACUGAGAGGGUGACCGGCCACAGAGGGACUGGGGUACGAGCCAGACUCCAACGGGAGGCAGCAGUGGGGGAUAGUGCACAAAGGGCGGAAGCCUGAUGCAGCAACGCCGCGUGGGGGAUGACGGCCUUAGGGGAGUAAACCGCUUGCGCAUGUGACGAAGCGUGAGUGACGGUAAUGGGUAAAGAAGCACCGGCUAACUACGUG